rnacentral:rRNA from 1 species
AUGCUGCCGAAAUGCACGGACGCGGCCACGUUGAAUGACUAUCGGCCUAUAAGCCUUAUUCACCUAGUGGCAAAGAUCUUCGCCAAAGUGUUGUCCCUACGACUAGCCCCGAAGCUGGACAGCCUUAUGAGCCGGAGCCAAAAUGCGUUCAUCGCCGACAGGAGCCUCCACGACAACUUCAUCCUAGUCAAGCAAUCGGCCCGGCUUCUCCACCAGUUGGGUGCCCCACGAGUCUUGCUCAACCUGGACCUUGCAUGGGCCUUCGACUCCCUGGCUUGGCCCUUCCUCAUGGAGACCCUGCGCUAA